GGUAUCCUUUAAGUGAAGUAGAAUGCAAGGCAUUAUCAUAUUGCUCAGUUCAUGCUGUCAUGAUGUAAGAGGUUAACACGUUCACCAAGCACUGUAACUGCACCGUCUUAUACGUGAGUGAAGAAAGCUUCCUUUUAAGACGCAUCAUUAAGUGAGCAGCUAAUUAAGCAUUGUGUUUGUUUAAUCACGUAUGGAAAAGCCCGAAGAGAUGUCUGCCUAUGGAAAGGAUGCCUUCAUGGAAGAAGUUCAAAACGAAAAUGGUUACAAACGGGAAAUACAGCUAGCCCGUUCGCCAGACAAAAAAAUCUAGAUCGAACUACAAAGUUCAGCAGGCUGAUCUCUUUGGUCACUUACGAAUUUUUUAAAGAAUUUAAUGUAAUUUUCUUCAGAAAUAUAGAAAGCAAAUUAGAUAAAAUUUGAAGAAAA